rnacentral:rRNA from 1 species
ACGGAGGGUGCGAGCGUUGUUCGGAAUUACUGGGCGUAAAGGGCGCGUAGGCGGCUUUACAAGUCAGUUGUGAAAGUCCACGGCUCAACCGUGGAAGUGCAAUUGAAACUGUAAGGCUUGAGUACUGGAGGGGAGUGUGGAAUUCCUGGUGUAGAGGUGAAAUUCGUAGAUAUCAGGAGGAAUACCGGUGGCGAAGGCGACACUCUGGACAGAUACUGACGCUGAGGCGCGAAAGCGUGGGGAGCAAACAGG